rnacentral:rRNA from 1 species
AGAUUGAACGCUGGCGGCAUGCCUAACACAUGCAAGUCGAACGGGAGUAGCAAUACUCUAGUGGCGGACGGGUGAGGAAUACGUAGGAAUUUGCCCUUAAGUGGGGGAUAACCCGGGGAAACCCGGAUUAAUACCGCAUGACCUCGAAAGAGCAAAGUGGGGGAUCGCAAGACCUCACGCUUUUGGAGAAGCCUACGUCGGAUUAGCUAGUUGGUGAGGUAAUGGCUCACCAAGGCGACGAUCCGUAACUGGUCUGAGAGGAUGAUCAGUCACACCGGAACUGAGACACGGUCCGGACUCCUACGGGAGCAGCAGUGGGGAAUAUUGGACAAUGGGCGCAAGCCUGAUCCAGCAAUGCCGNGUGUGUGAAGAAGGCCUUC